rnacentral:lncRNA from 1 species
ACCACCACCACCACCACCACAACAGAGAUCUUCUCCACUCCUAUUCUAAUCAACCCCUCGCCGCCGCCGCCGCCGCAGAUCGCACCACCGACCGACCGAAGCGAUGGCCGCCUCCACCGUCGCGUCCAGGGCCGUGGCCGUCCUCGCCGUCCUGUCGGUCGCCGCCCUCUCCGUCGUCUCCGCGCAGGAGGCCCCGGCGCCGAGCCCCGUGUCGGCCGCCGGCGCAGCGGCGCCGUCCCUCGCCGCAGCGCUCGUCGCCUCCGGCGCCGCCUUCCUCUUCGCCGCCGUCCGCCACUGAAGCGGCCGCCUCCGUCCUCGCCGACCGUCCGUCCGUUCAUCGAUGGCUCCUCCUCUACAUCUACAUAGUACCGCCGCGUAGAUCCGUUUAGCGCCGCUGCUGUUACCACUAGCGAUUUGUUGGUUGUUCGUGUCCGCUUGGCCUGAUCUGCCUGCUACUGUCCGUCGCUCGGUGACGAUGAUGAUGAUGAUUAUUACAUCCUUGGUAGAGAUUGUACCCGUGUGCUUGUAGAUACGUACUUCUCACCACUGCUAUUUAUCCGGUUUGAUCUGCUGAUAUAUUCGCUGGGUUUAAUUUUGAUGAUGCUUUUCUGUCAGUCGUGAUUUCCUGAAUUUUGAUGCGCGUGAGCGUGGUGAAUUCUGUUCCUCGCCACCGCGACAGUGCACGAACCUAUUUUUCUUAGCAGAAUCGUUAUUUUUGCUUGCUCUGCUCUCUUCAGUCGAGACAACACCUACAUGCGAGAGAUGGCUGAUCGCGCAACAGAUGAAAACCUAGAUUUAAUAUAAGUGAGUAUUAAAUUGGA